UACGAAGGGGGCUAGCGUUGCUCGGAAUCACUGGGCGUAAAGGAUGCGUAGGCGGGUCUUUAAGUCAGGGGUGAAAUCCUGGAGCUCAACUCCAGAACUGCCUUUGAUACUGAGGAUCUUGAGUUCGGGAGAGGUGAGUGGAACUGCGAGUGUAGAGGUGAAAUUCGUAGAUAUUCGCAAGAACACCAGUGGCGAAGGCGGCUCACUGGCCCGAUACUGACGCUGAGGCACGAAAGCGUGGGAGCAAACAGG
rnacentral:rRNA from 1 species